GGUAACCCAAUCAGAGUCAAGACUAGAAGCCUAGCUAUAGAACCUAUCUCAACAGCUCCAAGAACUCCUCAGUGGUAUACAAAGGAACCAAGGAAAAGAACCAGCAGAUGGCACAAGAAGUAGCGGUAGCAAACUGGUAAAUCUUGACAAUAGAAUUGAAACAAAGACACGAAACGGGAUAGGGAUAGUACCAAGGUAUGCAAAGCUGGACUUUCCCACAUUUAAUGGAGAGGACCCGUCGAGUUGGUUACACAGAUGUGAGUAAUUCUUCUCCAAUCAGUGAACGCUUGAAGGGGAUAAAGUAGAUCUUGUAACGUUUCGUAUGAUGGGAGACGCACAACUUUGAUUCUAUAGAUUAGUACAAGAAGAACCCUGACUAUGUGGAAUGUAUUCAAAGAGUAUUGUAAUUUGAGAUUCGGGCCUCCACUC
rnacentral:misc_RNA from 1 species